rnacentral:rRNA from 1 species
GUAUCCACUCCAGAAGCGUAUAUUAAAGUUGUUGCAGUUAAAAAGCUCGUAGUUGGAUCUGGGUCGUAUGGCUAUGUACCGUCGCUCGUGAGCCUGGCUUGGUUACGACUGGGUCGAGUUCAUGGGUCGGUGUCGUGGCUGUGCAGCCUUUCUGCCGUGUCUGUCUCAGGACAGGUGUCGGCCUUAUCGGUGGGCUUGUCUCGUCGGUUGGUCGGCAUGUACUUUGAUGCCUUUGAACGGGUGUCGGGUGCGGACGGUGCGUUUACUUUGAACAAAUUUGAGUGCUCAAAGCAGGCUUGUGCCUGAAAAGUUUUGCAUGGAAUAAUGGAAUAGGACUUCGGUUCUAUUUUGUUGGUUUUCGGAUCCGAAGUAAUGGUUAAGAGGGACAGACGGGGGCAUUUGUAUGGCGGUGUUAGAGGUGAAAUUCUUGGAUCGCCGCCAGACAAACUACAGCGAAAGCAUUUGCCAAGGAUGUUUUCAUUGAUCUGGAGCGAAAGUCAGAGGUUCGAAGACGAUCAGAUACCGUCCUAGUUCUGACCAUAAACGAUGCCAACUGACGAUCCGUAGGCGCACUUUUAAUGGCCCUGCGGGCAGUCCCCGGGAAACCUUUAAGUUUUUGGGCUCCGGGGGAAGUAUGGUUGCAAAGCUGAAACUUAAAGGAAUUGACGGAAGGGCACCACCAGGAGUGGAGCCUGCGGCUUAAUUCGACUCAACACGGGAAAACUCACCCGGCCCGGACACUGUGAGGAUUGACAGAUUGAUAGCUCUUUCUUGAUUCGGUGGUGGGAAGUGU